CCUACGGGUGGCUGCAGUGGGGGAUAUUGCACAAUGGGGGAAACCCUGAUGCAGCGACGCCGCGUGGGUGAAGAAGCGCCUCGGCGCGUAAAGCCCUGUCAGCAGGGAAGAAAAUGACGGUACCUGAAGAAGAAGCCCCGGCUAACUACGUGCCAGCAGCCGCGGUAAUACGUAGGGGGCAAGCGUUAUCCGGAUUUACUGGGUGUAAAGGGGGCGCAGACGGCGCUGCAAGCCAGGUGUGAAAGCCCGGGGCCCAACCCCGGGACUGCUCUUGGAACUGGGUGGCUAGAGUGCAGGAGGGGCAGGCGGAAUUCCUGGUGUAGCGGUGAAAUGCGUAGAUAUCAGGAGGAACACCGGUGGCGAAGGCGGCAUGCUGGACUGCAACUGACGUUGAGGCCCGAAAGCGUGGGGAGCAAACAGGAUUAGAUACCCCAGUAGUC
rnacentral:rRNA from 1 species